CUCUGAGAAAUUUCCCUCCCUGAGAAUUCCCUCUGAGCGUGUAUCUUACCCUCAAAACAAUCCCUGGCUCCUGCCACAUUUAACGCCUCAGACGAAGGAAGCAUUAUCAGAAGUAGGUAAUGUGUCGAGCAGGACAAAAGGAUUAGACUUGAUUUCUAAAGAACAACUAAAUACUCAACGUGAGUGUGGCCUGGAAUGGACUGUACCCUCAGCUCCUCCAACGCAAAUGACGAGACAAAAUACAAGGCCACCUUUGGAAUCAUCCAGUGAAACUGCAAAAUAUCAGAAUGUCUCGUUGCCGAAAGGAAAGAAAUUAUUGGAUGGGGAGCAGAUAAUUGAUUCAAUAACAAAUGUUAGCUCCCCCAAGCUAAGUGUUAGAAAGAAGGUGCACUUAGGUAAAGCAUGUCAAAAAAAAGUACAAAAAGAGGUAUGUCUACCUGGAUUUUUUUCACAUUCUCUUUCUAUCCAUAUCCCUCCUUUGCCUGAAAAUAAAAGACAGAAGAAUGACCUAAAACAAGGAGUUGAGAAAGACAUGGUACCCACCCAAAGGACUUUGGAGAAAUUGAUAUUUUCAAACGUAUUUAAUACCACUGACUACGGUGGCCCAGGCAACAGACCAGAACUGCCGAGGAAGAUUAGAAUAAAAGGAGUCAACGUGAAAGGAACAAUGAAUCCCAACAUUACCUUGAAGGCAAAGAAACCAUCACGAUCACACAUGCUCAGUGAAAAGGAAUUGCCAGGGCAGUUGAAAAUUGUAAAACAAGAGAGCGAGGGGCAGAUAGGCAAAGGUAUAUCAGGUGUGAAACUGACAAACUUGUUUACUUCUGUACCAUCUCUCUCACCUCUUGAUUUGAACUCAAGAACAAAAGGAGAAAGAGAUACGUCAAGAAUACCACAGAACUGCCUUCCACCACUAAAGCUCCAGGCAACAUCAAAUAUCAGGAAAGCGUCAUUUGCAGAGUCAAUUAAUAGAGAGAGUUUAAGCAACAUAAUAGAAUCAAAACAUUUCCCACAGCAAAAGAGGGAAGAUGGAGACAAUAUAGUAUAUGUGAAAGAUAAAAGGAACUGCAAAAGGCCCACUUUUAAAAGAAAGAAAAAACUUUUCAAACACACACCGCAUGGAAAUGAACCACAGUGGAACAAUAAAGAGCAAGAGAAAAUGAUGCAGGAAGAUGAAAGUAAUGGAAAUGUAGUUCUGAAUAAGCCCCAUGCCUCCAUUCCAUCUUCUUCUCACCUGGAGCAGGGUCCUGGAGUAAAAGAAGCGGCAUCACAAAUAGUAUCAUGGUUCUACCCUCCAUCACUGACCUUCCAGGAAUUGUCAGAUGCAAUGAUAACAUGUAAGGAGCCAGCUG
rnacentral:lncRNA from 1 species